CUUCACUGAAUUCAUUUAUUAGUUCUAACAGUUUUUUGGAAGUCUUCAAGGUGUUCUUUUCUGAGAUCAUUUUGUCUGCAGAGACAAUUUAAUUUCUUUCUUUCUAAUUUUGAUGCCCUUCAUUUCUUUCUCUUGCUAAACUGCUCUAGCUAGGACUUACAUAUGAAGUCAAUGGACUACACUGACUAGAAGAGGACUUUAUGGAUGGCAGAACUUUAGAGCAAUGAAUACAUGGCUAUGUUCAUCAAAGCCAUGAAGACACAGUGGCCUGAAAUCUUGGGGACCCAAUUCCCACACCAGUGUGUCCAAGAGUUAUAGAGAUGAAAAUGCAUAUGGAAUUAUCAUGCAAAUUACCAAUAAAGAGAAUCACUGGUCAGAAUCCCUAUAUUUUGGAGAAGAAAAAUUUUGAAAACCAGUCAGAAUUCAAUCAACUGCAGUUGGGAGAAAGACAGCGAGUAGCUUGAGAGAGAUGAGAAACUAUCAAAAAGAAGUUCCUGACAUGGCAACAGUGUAUCAUCCAAUGAAUCAAUCGCCUCACCCAACACUGUAACACUUCCUGGCCUAUUGACUCAGAGCAUGAGGAAACCAAAGUGACCAGGGGAAGGCCUCAGGAAACUUACAAUCAUGGUGAAGGAGAAGCAGGCACAUCACAUGGCUGGAGCAACAAGCAAGAAGCAGGGGAAGUGCCGCACACUGUUAAACAAGCAGACCUCUCAAGAACUCAUUCACUAUCACAAAAACAGCACCAAGAGGAUGGUGCUAAAUGAUUCAUGAGAAAUCCCCCUCCGUGAUCCAGUCACCUCCCACCAGGCCUCACCUCCAUGAGAUUUGGUGCAAACACAGAUCGAAACCAUAUCAACAACUUUUAAUUUAGGUUCAUGGAGUACAUGUGUAGGUUUGUUACAUGGGUAAAUUGCCUGUCACAGGGGUUUGGUGUACAGAUAAUUUUGUCAUCCAGGCAGUCAACAUAAUACCCAGUAGAUAGUUUUUCAAUCCUCACCUUCCUCUUGCCCUACACCCUCAAGUAGGCCCCAGUGUGUAUUAUUCCCUUCUUUGUGUCUGUUGUACUCAAUGUUUAAUUUCACUUGUAAGUGAGAGCAUGUAGUGCUUGAUUUUCUGUUCCUGUAUUAGUUAGCUAAGGAUAAUGUCCUCCAGCUGCAUCCAUGUUGCUGCAAAGAAUAUGAUCUUGUUCUUUUUUAUGGUUGUAUAGUAGUCUAUGGACGUGUGGCUGAACUAAUUUAUCUUUUCACCAACAGUGUAUAAGUGUUCCGUUUUCUCCACAACCUUGCCACCACCUUUUCUUUUUUUUUUUUUUUUUUUUGACUUUUUAAUAGUACCCAUUCUGACUAGAGUGAGAUGAUAUCUCAUUGUGGUUUUGACUUGCAUUUCCCUAAUGAUUAGUGAUAUUGAGCAAUUUUUCAUAUACUUGUUGGCUGUGUGUAUGUAUUCUUUUGAGAAGUGUCUGUUUAUAUCCUUUGCCCAUUUUUAAAUGGGGUUGUUUGAUUUGUUUAAGUUCCUCAUAGAUUCUGGAUAUUAGGCCUUUGUUAGAUGCGUCGUUUGCAAAUAUUUUCUCCUAUUCUGUAGAUUAUCUGGUUACACCGUUGAUUAUUUCUUUCCCUAUGCAGAAACUCUUUCAAUUAGGUCCAAAUUGUCAAAUUUGUUUUUUUGCAAUUGCUUUUGGAGUCUUCCUCAGGAAGUCUUUGCCAGGGCCAAUGUCCAGAAUGGUGUAUCCUAGGUUUUCUUCUAGAAUUUUUUUAGUUUUAGGUUGUACAUUUAAGUCUUCAAUUCAUUUUUAGUUGAUUUUUGUAUAUGGUGAAAGGUACAGAUCCAGUUCUAUUCUUCUGCAUAUGGCUGGCCAGUUAGCCUAGCACCAUUUAUUGAAUAGGGAGUCACUUCCGCAUUGCUUUUCUUUGUUGGUUUUGUCAAAAAUCAGAUGGUUGUGGGGGUACAACUUUAUUUCUGGGUUAACUAAUGCAUUCCAUUGGUCUAUAUCUCUGUUUUUGUAUCAAUAUCAUGUUGUUUUAGUUACUGUAGCCAUGUAGCAUAGUUUGAAGUUGAGUAAUGUGAUAUCUCCAGCUUUGUUCUUUUGGCAUAGGGUUGUCUUGGCUAUUUGAGCUCUUUUUUUGGUUUUAAAUAAAUGUUAGAAUAAUUUUUUCCUAAUUCUAUGAAAAAUGUCAUUGGUAAUUUGAUAGGAAUAGCAUUCAAUCUAUGACAUGCUUUGGAAGUAUGGCCAUUUUAACAAUAUUGAUUCUUCCUAUCCGUGAUCAUGGAAUGUGUUUCCAUUUGUUUGUGUUUUUCCAAUUUCUUUCAGCAGUAUUUUGUAAUUCUCAUUACAGAGAUCUUUCACCUCCCUGGUUAGUUUUAUUCCUAGGUAUUUUAUUCUUUUUGUGGCUAUUAUGAAUGAGAUUGCAUUCUUGAUUUGGCUCUCAGCUUGAACAUUGUUGAUGUUUAGAAAUGCUACUGAUUUUUAUACAUUGAUUUUGUAUCCUGAAACUUUGCUGAAGUCGUUUAUCAGAUCUAGAAGUUUUUAGGCAGAGACUAUGGGGCUUUUUAGAUAUGGAAUCAUGUUAUAUGUAAACAGAGAUAGUUUGAUUUAUUUCUUCCAAUUUGGAUACAUUUUAUGUCUUUCUCUUGCCCAAUUACUCGGGCUAGGAUUUCCAGUACUAAGUUGAAUAGGAGUGGUGAGAGUGAGCCUCCUUGUCUUGUUCCGUUUCCCAAGGGGAAUUGAUAUGGUUUGGCUCUGUGUUCUCACCUAAGUCCCAUCAUGAAUUGUAAUCCCCAUAAUCUCUAUGUGUCAAGGGCAGGACCAGGUGGAGGUAAUUGGAUCAUGGGGGCAGUUUCCCCCAUGCUGUUCUCAUGAUAGUGAAUGAGUUCUCAUAAGGUCUGAUGGUUUUAUAAGCAUCUGGCAUUUCCCCUGCUUGCCCUCACUCCAUCCUGCUGCCCUAUAAAGAAAGUGCCUGCUUCUCCUUUGUCUUCUGCUAUGAUUGUAAGUUCCCUGAGGCCUCCCAAGCCAUGUAGAAUUGUGAGUCAAUUAAACCUCUUUCCUUUAUAAAUUACCCAGUCUUGGAUAUUUCUUCAUAGCAGUGUGAGAAAGGACUAACACAGGAAUGCUUUCAGCUUUUGCCAAUUCAGUAUGAUGUUGGCUGUGGGUUUAUCAUAGAUGGCUCUUAUUAUUUUGAGGUAUGAACUUUUGAUGCCUAGUUUGUUGAGUAUUUUAAACAUGGGAUAUUGAAUUUUGUUGAAAGUCUUUCCUGUUUCUAUUGAGAUGAUCAUGUGGUUUUUGUUUUUAAUUCUGUUUAUAAGGUAAAUCACAUUUGUUGAUUUGCAUAUGUUGAACCAAUCUUGCAUCCCAGGAAUAAAGCCUGCUUGAUCAUGAUGCAUGAGCUUUUUGAUGUGCUGCAGGAUUCAGUUUGCUAGUCAAGAAUUUUUGCAUCUGUGUUUUUCAGGGAUAUUGGCCUGAAAUUAUGUUGUUGUUGUUGUGCUCUGCCAGGUUUUGAUAUUAGAAUGAUGCCAGCUUCAUAGAAUGUGUUAGGAAAAAGUCCCUCCUCAAUUUUUUAGAAUAAUUUUAGUAGGAUUGGUACCACCUCUUCUUUAUAUGUCUGGUAGAAUUUGUCUAUUUGUCUGUGAAUCUGUCUGGUCCAGGGCUUUUUCUAUUUGGUAGGUUUUUUGUUUGUUUGUUUGUUCCUAAUUCCAUUUUGGAGCUCAUUAUUUGUCUGUUCAGGGUCUCAAUUUCUUCCUGGUUGAAUCUUGAGAGGUUAUGUGUUUCCAAGAAUUUAUCCAUUUCUUCUAGGUUUUCCAGUUUGUAUGCUUAGACAUGUUCAUAAUGGUCUCUGAGGUUUUGGUGUCUCUGUGGGGUCAGUGGUAAUGUUACCUUUGUAAUUUCCUAUUGUGUUUAUUUUUAUCUUUUCUCUUUUUUCCUUUAUUCAUUUAGCUAGUGGUCUAUCAAUCUGAUUUAUCUUUUCGAAUAAGCAACUUUUGGUUUUGUUGAUCUUUUGUAUGGUUUUGUUUAUCUUUUGUAUGGUUU
rnacentral:lncRNA from 10 species